rnacentral:rRNA from 1 species
ACCUGCGGAAGGAUCAUUACAGAAUGAAAAGUGCUUAACUGCAUUUUUUCUUACACAUGUGUUUUUCUCUUUUUGAAAACUUUGCUUUGGUAGGCCUUCUAUAUGGGGCCUGCCAGAGAUUAAACUCAACCAAAUUUUAUUUAAUGUCAACCGAUUAUUUAAUAGUCAAAACUUUCAACAACGGAUCUCUUGGUUCUCGCAUCGAUGAAGAACGCAGCGAAAUGCGAUAAGUAAUAUGAAUUGCAGAUAUUCGUGAAUCAUCGAAUCUUUGAACGCACAUUGCGCCCUUUGGUAUUCCAAAGGGCAUGCCUGUUUGAGCGUCAUUUCUCCCUCAAACCCUCGGGUUUGGUGUUGAGCGAUACGCUGGGUUUGCUUGAAAGAAAGGCGGAGUAUAAACUAAUGGAUAGGUUUUUUCCACUCAUUGGUACAAACUCCAAAACUUCUUCCAAAUUCGACCUCAAAUCAGGUAGGACUACCCGCUGAACUUAAGCAUAUCAAUA